rnacentral:rRNA from 1 species
UGGGGAAUAUUGCACAAUGGGCGCAAGCCUGAUGCAGCCAUGCCGCGUGUAUGAAGAAGGCCUUCGGGUUGUAAAGUACUUUCAGUCGGGAGGAAGGUGGUAAGGUUAAUAACCUUAUCAAUUGACGUUACCGACAGAAGAAGCACCGGCUAACUCCGUGCCAGCAGCCGCGGUAAUACGGAGGGUGCAAGCGUUAAUCGGAAUUACUGGGCGUAAAGCGCACGCAGGCGGUUGAUUGAGUCAGAUGUGAAAUCCCCGGGCUUAACCCGGGAAUUGCAUCUGAUACUGGUCAGCUAGAGUCUUGUAGAGGGGGGUAGAAUUCCAUGUGUAGCGGUGAAAUGCGUGGAGAUGUGGAGGAAUACCGGUGGCGAAGGCGGCCCCCUGGACAAAGACUGACGCUCAGGUGCGAAAGCGUGGGGGGCAAACAGG